AUUGAACGCUGGCGGAAUGCUUUACACAUGCAAGUCGAACGGCAGCACGGACUUCGGUCUGGUGGCGAGUGGCGAACGGGUGAGUAAUGUAUCGGAACGUGCCCAGUCGUGGGGGAUAACGUAGUGAAAAUUACGCUAAUACCGCAUACGAUCUAUGGAUGAAAGCGGGGGAUCGCAAGACCACGCGCGAUUGGAGCGGCCGAUAUCAGAUUAGGUAGUUGGUGGGGUAAAGGCCCACCAAGCCAACGAUCUGUAGCUGGUCUGAGAGGACGACCAGCCACACUGGAACUGAGACACGGUCCAGACUCCUACGGGAGGCAGCAGUGGGGAAUCUUGGACAAUGGGCGAAAGCCUGAUCCAGCCAUCCCGCGUGCAGGAUGAAGGCCCUCGGGUUGUAAACUGCUUUUGUACAGAACGAAAAGGUUUCUACUAAUACUAGGAGCUCAUGACGGUACUGUAGAAUAAGCACCGGCUAACUACGUGCCAGCCGCCGCCGUAA
rnacentral:rRNA from 1 species